AUGGCCUGGACCAUGCUUUUUCAUUGGCCUCCUUGCUCACUGCACAGGCUCUGUGGCCUCCUAUGUGCUGACGCAGCCAUCUUCCAUGUCAGUGUCUCUGAAAGAGACAGUCACGCUGACCUGCGAGGGAAACAACAUUGGAGAUAAAGCUGUGGACUGGUACCAGCAGAAGCCACCCCAGGCCCCCAUGCUGGUCAUAUAUAGUGAUAACAACCGAGACUCGGGGAUUCCUGACCGGUUCUCUGGUGCCAACUUGGGCAAUACCGCCACACUGACCAUCACUGGCGCCCAGGCUGAGGAUGAGGCCGACUAUUACUGUCAUGUGUGGGAUAGUAGCAGUGAUCACCCACAGUGA